AUUUUUCAUUUUUGAUAUGCCUGUGCAUAUAAACACGGUUAAUACAUGAGAAAAGCUCUUUAUUGAAUGCAAUGUUUAGCAUUCAAAGAUCUAAUGAUUAAUGUAACUAAAAAACUAGGACACAGUCAAAUCAAAAUAAAAACCACAUUCCUACUAAGUUGCAUAAGAUAGCAUAAUGUGUAUGAUUAUAAUCGACUAUAGAACCCUUCUGUGUUGCAUGUGAAAACUUUCCUAUAUGUAGGUUUGUUGCAACAGGAAACCCAACGUUGCCGCCCCAUCAUUAUUUUAAUAUGUUCCACAUACAUUCAUUCCCCAGGAAAUAGAGAAAUAGAAACAGAGACAACAAGGUGAUGUGGGUAGUAAAAUCAAAGAAAACAAAUGGAAGUGAUGUUUAUCCGCAUAACAGGUACUGCACAUCUUGAUCAGAAAAAGGGUUCCCAGAUCCACUCUCACUUAGGUCCAUACUUUAAUUUUAUAUUUCAUCCCAAAAGCAUGGACCAGGAAAGUUAAAAUUUAUUCUAGUAAAUAAGCUCAGAGAGCCAUUUCGUCAUCUAAUUCGUCCUCUUCAUUCCAAUCAUACUCAACAACUACACCUUCUCCCCGCAGCAAGUGCAAGAUCUGCUCUAGAUCUCUCGCAGGCCCCUCAAAAUAUGCAUUAGGACCUGGACAGGAUCCAUUUUCAGCUAAGAGUGGUGGUGUGUAGCUCGAUGCUUUUAAGACAAACUUUCCAGAGGGUUCUAGAAUUUCAACACUAAAUGGAGGUGAUAAUGGUCGGCCCACAACUUGAACGUGAGAGACACAUAUAUAGAAUAAACCAUCCAUUUCUUGUUUCUGAACCCUACCCAACAGCUCAACUUGUAGAAUUCCACCUAUGCAAAGAACAGGCUCUGGAAGCUCAAACUUCUGCAAGCGAUUCUCCUGUUCAUGUAAAAGUCAUUAGGCAAUUAAUAUUCAAUCAAGAAUUGAAGCAUUUGGGGGGAAAUUAUAAAUUAUUCGUUUUACAUCCCCUAUAACAAAAAGAACCAAAUGCAAUACGUCAUAACAUACUGUAUCAACUGCAUCAAAAGUAUUAUCUUUACAAAGAACAAUGUGGGUUUAACGAAUUUUCAACAAAUAAAGCCAACUCUAUGAAGUUUAUAGAACACGAUAGAGAUACAGCAGAAAUAGCAAUUCUGAUUAUUUUUGUUGUUCUAUUAUCACAAAUGCAAAGAAAUACCAACUUAUCAUUCAUGAUCAUCAUACUCAGAAAAGUUCUUGCAAGUUGACCAGUGUCAGGGUGCACGUUUUUGUUGAGAGAUAAGUUGCGUCUCACUUAUGAAUAUAAUGGUAUUUGCAAGGAAAAUAGAUACAACAUACCUGAGCCAUUGCAAAUUCAGGUGAAGUGUAAGUCCAUACGAAAUUGUCAUCAGCAAAAUUAUCACAUGGCUCACCCAUGGGAUCAUCCACUGGGGCUUUGGGAUGACCCAUUCGAAAGCGCACUGAUUUGGCAGAAUAUAUAGGUGAACCCCACUGAAAAAAAGCUUGAAAAGGUCGCACACUGAUUUCAGUGAUGACACAAAUAUCGGCAACUAGCUUAUAUGUAAGUGUCUCAGGCACUGCAGGAUUACUUUGUCCUUUACUUGACCAGUAUGAAGCUCUCCUUAAAACUCUGUCAUGUGGUUCAAGAGUAUUACGAAUGCUUUCUUCUGGAUAAUUAUCAGUGCUAGAAGCACUUAAUGCACCAGCAAUGCAAUCCUCUCUGCGAGCAAAUAAUGUACAGCCUCGAGCUAAAAAAGCAUAAACUCUGUGUUCCCUCUCCAGAGUUUCCCAUUCUACAGAUUUGCUGCAUCCAACUUCUGAAGAAUUUUUCACACAACAGUUUGGUUCAAUAACGCGAUCUACUCUAUGCAACCAAGGAAACAUUCUCAAGCACAGCUGCUUAAAAAGACCAUUCGCAACCACUGAAAAACAGUUAAAACCCAAUUAAUACCUGUGACAAAAUCAAAAGUUCAAAAAUUCCUGAGGCUUACUCUAUCUAAACCUCCAGCAGUCGCCAAUAUUUCAAUGAAAAUAAGAAUUGAGCAAGUAUCCAUUACUUCAAAACUUCAAUCACAGCUUUUCUCAUCAGCAUGACAGAAAAUUAAACACGUGACCUACAGUGAUACUAAUAACAGAAGAGCACAGAAAAUUCUCAUUGAAUAAAAGAUGAAGACAGUGGCAUAAAAGGGAAGGAUGAUAGAAAUCAGUUGGGGUUACCACACGAUGCAAAUAUGACGAGAGCUCAACAUCAAAAUGAUAAAAUGUAAAAUUAAAAGUUCCCAAAAGGUGUAUUGUUUGAAAUCAUGCAUCAGAAAAAAAGUGUUAUCAAUACCAAACUCUACCAUUAAAUAUCACUAUUUUCACUUAAUUUUAAAAAUGGACUACACACAAGGAAAUGAAAGUUUGAUGGCUAAAACAUUAAACAUGAAACUGAAAACCUGUUUAUUAAUCAAACUACAAAUAAAAAUGAAAUAGAUGUUUUCCUAAUUCAUUAGAAUCACACACACCCCACAUUACACAUAAAAUCACAUAAAAUUCACUUAUUACUAUUGGCAAAUUUGCCAUUUAAAGAAUUUAUUUGCAACAGGGUUAUGCAGGUAUCUAAUGGAAUUUAAUGAGUGUGAAAGGAAUAAUUACUCACCAAACUCUCUCCAGGAACGUGAAACAGAACUAACACGAACAAGAUCAGAUGGAUCCUCCAAACACAUGAGAAUCCUCAUCAACAUGUCGUAAUCAAGCCAACUAAAGAAGUCUACCCGUGUCUCCAUUUUAAGCAGCUAACAAAUACCUGUCGUGUUAUUAAAAUAAGCAAAUUUUGCUUCUGGGAAAUAAGCCAACGGAAGAAAAUAACUGAAAAAAGCAAACCUUGCCGUCAUCUUGAACCUCAAAACCUAUUUUUCAAAUAGACCAUAACAUAUCAAGAGCAUAAAUAAAUAAUAUCCAAAAUUUGAAACCAAUUCCAGAACUGUGAAAAGUAAAUGCUUGCACAAAUACAGAGAAUUUAUAGAUCCAAGUCCAAAUCACAAUUAUCUAAUGAUAUGUAAGAUUAGUCCAGAACAGUAGCCAAAUAUUCUAAAGGAAAUAAAUGAAUGAAGAAGAGAAGCUCAAAAUUUUGCAACAAGGAAGUGAUCAUCUUAUUGUCACCGAACCCAAUUGACAAAAAUAAUUUCACGUGCGCAAGAAAAAGGCAUGAUCAUUGCUCAAUGCAUCAAACUAAAAUAGCUGGAGUCAAAUUAACAAAUUAAACACAUCAAGAACGAAAUUAACUUCAAAAUACCCAGAAAAUAUAAGGGCUUUAUCACAACCCCACACUGAAUUCAACAGUCGCAAAUAUUCAGAAAAAUAAUUUGUUACUUAAAAAAAAGGGACAAAUUCAGACAAUCGAUAACGAAUGUCACGACAGAAGGGAACCUAGAAAACGUUUAAAAAAAAAAAA
rnacentral:misc_RNA from 1 species